rnacentral:sRNA from 1 species
UUAGAUUAAAAUAUAUGUAAAGGUGUC